UACGGAGGGUGCGAGCGUUGUUCGGAAUUACUGGGCGUAAAGGGCGUGUAGGCGGUCCGCUAAGUCUGAUGUGAAAGCCCGGGGCUCACCCCCGGAAGUGCAUUGGAAACUGGCGGACUCGAGUCCCGGAGAGGAGAGUGGAAUUCCUGGUGUAGCGGUGAAAUGCGUAGAUAUCAGGAAGAACACCCGUGGCGAAGGCGGCUCUCUGGGACGGUACUGACGCUGAGACGCGAAAGCGUGGGGAGCGAACAGG
rnacentral:rRNA from 1 species